rnacentral:rRNA from 1 species
GCCUACGGGAGGCAGCAGCCGCGGUAAAACGUAGGACGCAAACGUUAUCCGGAGUUACUGGGCGUAAAGCGCGAGCAGGCGGUUGGAUAAGUUACCUAUGAAAGCUCCCGGCUAAACUGGGAGAGGAUAGGUGAUACUGUUUAACUAGAGUGAGAUAGAGGCAAGUAGAAUUCCGGGUGUAGUGGUGAAAUGCGUAGAUAUCCGGAGGAAUACCAGUGGCGAAGGCGGCUUGCUGGAUCUCAACUGACGCUGAGACGCGAAAGCGUGGGUAGCGAACGGGAUUAGAUACCCCAGUAGUCC